UUCNGACGCUGAAGCAGAUAUUCAGUGCCA
rnacentral:piRNA from 1 species